rnacentral:rRNA from 1 species
AGGGCACCACCAGGAGUGGAGCCUGCGGCUUAAUUUGACUCAACACGGGAAAUCUCACCAGGCCCGGACACCGGAAGGAUUGACAGAUUGAGAGCUCUUUCUUGAUUCGGUGGGUGGUGGUGCAUGGCCGUUCUUAGUUGGUGGAGCGAUUUGUCUGGUUAAUUCCGAUAACGAACGAGACUCUGGCCUACUAACUAGACGUUGGAUCAUUUAUGGUCCUUCGCUGCUUCUUAGAGGGACGGGCGGCGUUCAGCCGCACGAGAAUGAGCAAUAACAGGUCUGUGAUGCCCUUAGAUGUUCUGGGCUGCACGCGCGCUACACUGAAGGAAUCAGCGUGUGUACCCUGUCCGAAAGGACUGGGAAACCCGUUGAACCUCCUUCGUGAUGGGGAUUGGGGAUUGAAAUUAUUCCCCAUGAACGAAGGAAUUCCCAGUAGGCGCGAGUCAUAAGCUUGCGUCGAAUAACGUCCCUGCCCUUUGGUACAAACGCGUCGCUACUACGGAUCGAGGGAUUUUAGUG